rnacentral:rRNA from 1 species
CGACCAAGACGGUGGAGCGAUGUGGUUUAAUUCGAAGCAACGCGAAGAACCUUACCAGGCCUUGACAUGCAGAGAACUUUCCAGAGAUGGAUUGGUGCCUUCGGGAACUCUGACACAGGUGCUGCAUGGCUGUCGUCAACUCGUGUCGUGAGAUGUUGGGUUAAGUCCCGCAACGAGCGCAACCCUUGCCUUUAGUUGCCAGCAGUUCGGCUGGGCACUCUAAAGGGACUGCCGGUGUUAAACCGGAGGAAGGUGGGGAUGACGUCAAGUCCUCAUGGCCUUUAUGACCAGGGCUACACACGUACUACAAUGGCCGAUACAAAGGGCAGCGACACUGCGAGGUGAAGCCAAUCCCGUAAAAUCGGUCUCAGUCCGGAUUGGAGUCUGCAACUCGACUCCAUGAAGUUGGAAUCGCUAGUAAUCGUGGAUCAGCAUGCCACGGUGAAUACGUUCCCGGGCCUU